GAUGAACGCUGGCGGCGUGCCUAAUACAUGCAAGUCGAGCGAGCGGCGGACGGGUGAGUAAUGUCUGGGACACUGCCUGAUGGAGGGGGAUAACUACUGGAAACGUUAGCUAAUACCGCAUACCAUCAGAUGUGCCCAGAUGGGAUUAGCUAUUAGGUGGGGUAAUGGCUCACCUAGGCGACGAUCCCUAGCUGGUCUGAGAGGAUGACAGGCCACACUGGAACUGAGACACGGGCCAGACUCCUACGGGAGGCAGCAGUGGGGAAUAUUGCACAAGGGGCGCAAGCCUGAUACAGCCAUGCCGCGUGUGUGAAGAGGGCCUUCGGGUUGUAAAGCACUUUCAGCGAGGAGGCGUUAAUCGCAGAAGAAGCACCGGCUAACUCCGUGCCAGCAGCCGCGGUAAUUC
rnacentral:rRNA from 1 species